AACGAACGCUGGCGGCAGGCUUAACACAUGCAAGUCGAGCGCCCCGCAAGGGGAGCGGCAGACGGGUGAGUAACGCGUGGGAAUCUACCCAUCUCUACGGAAUAACGCAUGGAAACGUGUGCUAAUACCGUAUACGUCCUUCGGGAGAAAGAUUUAUCGGAGAUGGAUGAGCCCGCGUUGGAUAGCUAGUUGGUGGGGUAAAGGCCUACCAAGGCGACGACCCAUAGCUGGUCUGAGAGGAUGAUCAGCCACACUGGGACUGAGACACGGCCCAGACUCCUACGGGAGGCAGCAGUGGGGAAUAUUGGACAAUGGGCGCAAGCCUGAUCCAGCCAUGCCGCGUGAGUGAUGAAGGCCCUAGGGUUGUAAAGCUCUUUCACCGGUGAAGAUAAUGACGGUAACCGGAGAAGAAGCCCCGGCUAACUUCGUGCCAGCCGCCGCCGUAAGAC
rnacentral:rRNA from 1 species